CAAUUCUUCUUAAUGUGCGCCAGAUGUUGCAUGGGACACAGGCCUCUACUUUUCUUCAUUACUCUCCUCUUUACUGUUUUGGGGAGCACAGCCAGAGAGAGGGCUAAACAUUCAAGCAACUACUUUACUCUUUUAAGGCACCUUUUUAAUUAUGCUUACAACAGUAACAUUAAUGUACCCAAUGCUGAAGUUCUUCUUAAUAAUGAAAUUGAUUGGCU